ACUCUCAAGAAUCUCGUGCCUCGAUUGUCCCCCAGCUGGUCAGGAUCAGGGCACACAUGCUCGCCCCCGAGGGGUACAGCCCCCUCAAAAACCGAACAUGGCUCCUCUACAGGCUCCAUCGCUACCCAGCCGGCCUUACGUAGCCCUGAGGCGCACAGGGAACAGGCACCAUGAGUGCGCUCCACGCCAGCGUCUGGCUUUCAUCAUCCGGUUUUCGAGAGCCGCAGAAAUAAAGGGAAGUGGUGCAGCCGCGGGGAAUGGGAAGCUACCACUGCUACUGAAGCCGACGUCACUCACUGCUGGUCAUGUCCACAGUCCACGUCUCUCCCGCUAUCGCCCAACCUACAGUGAAGAUGGACUGGCUGCAUGUCCACACACCACGGGGCAGGCACGCACGCAUGCGCUCCUCGACGGAACCGCCGGGUUUGAUCCAUUCUGCCAGACUGUCCUAGAGACAGACUGGGACAGCUUCCGCCUUACUGCCGCCCGCGGGCUCCAGGGCAGUCUCGUCUCGGCUUCUGUUUGACCCUCUCUGUUGCACUGUUUGGUUUAAGGCUGCAACGUGAAGUCCUGGAGAAGGCGUGUGCCAACUUGAUCAGAGGGGACAAGAAAAGACUCAGGGAGAAAGGACCAGCUCAGGUGACACCAAAACCUCGAGAAUCACUCUAAGAACAAUGCCUUGUGAGGAAGGUUCUAAGGCAUGGGACUGCUUCCAGACGGGAAUCCACAAGCGACAAGCUGACAUGCACAGACCUUUUGAGGUUGCUAACGGAUUACUUCCAGCAGUACGGAACCAACAGCCGAGGGUCAAGUCCCCAAUGCGGAUGCUUCGGUCAGCUAUGUGAAU